UAGAAGAGUUGAAAAUAUAUAAAAUUACUAUAUUAAAAUUAACACAUUAAACAACAGCGAUGGACGAGAAGGACCUCGCAAAAUUAAUAGUAAAUAAUAAAGACUUUGUGGUAUUCUCGUUUGGUGAAUUAUAUUAGUUGUGUUACCACCCCCACGCCACUAGAGGCAUUAUCAGGCCCGAAAACAUGCGACUAAGGAGCAGAUUUAGAAGUACACAGAAAACUACGAAAUUUGUUAAAAACUGUGAGCUGCGCUAAAGUAGAUAAAAGAGAGAAAUUAAAAAACAUGCUGAGAGUGAAACUCCUUCCUAAAGAUGAAAAUAUAUCACAGAUUGCUAAAGAAAAUAAAAACGGGAGACCGCGGAUAAUAUAGGAAAUAGCGCCCCCUUCACUUCCGCAGUGCAAUGGUCCCACUUCCAAAUAAGGUCUGUGACUGACAGCGGUCCGUCCCGCCCUUCCUGUUUGCUGCAGCGAGGUGGAUUUGGAACCGACGAUAAAACGGCUCCUCUCGGCCUGCUCCUUUCAUGAAACCAGAAAGUUUAAAGCUGCAACUGAGGCAAAUCUCAACAUUUAUCUCAGGCGGGUCCAUCUUUACUCGUUUGCUAAGAGGCUGGAAAAUGUGGAAACGUCUCUUUAACUGGGUUUUCUUACUGGAGUUCGCCGUGCAGAUGGUCCAGUAUGGGAGCAGGCCAGAGACUGUGGGUGGUCACGCUGUGGGCAAACUGAAGGACAGUCAGCAAAGAUUUCACAUGAACUCAGAUCCACAGCUGGAAAGUAACUAGCUACAUUUUGUAUUUCAUAGUGAAAGAAAAGAAAAGAAAAGAAAAGAUGUCACCAACCCAGAGAGAUCAGAGCCGUCGCAAACUGAGCCUCCAUUCAGGCUGAUGGCAGGCCUAUUAAAUGCACGCAUCCACCGCGGUUUCUUUCUAGUGAACCAUAAAAAACAACUCGAAUGUUUGGCAUCAGGAUUCUUCUAUCUGAUCUUGUGGCUUUAAGAGACAUUUGGUGUGAUCAGCUCACAACCAGGUGCAGGCAAAACCUGCAAAACGCAGAAACCACAGCCCUGCCUGCCGGGUAGUAACGUGGAGCUCGUGAAAUCAAAUUUCCUCGGCUGCUCACCGCCUGUGUCUCGGGGCCGAGAGCCGGGCUGUUUCAUACGGGGGAAAGGCACAGGCGCACAGAGAUACCACUCCAUCUUCUGCUCCCGCUUUGAUGUCGGCGAGGCACCUCAGGGAGAGAAUAUGGAGAGUGUGUUGAUUGCAGAAUCUAGUAUUCAGAACACAUUGAUUGUGGAUGCAGCGGGAGGCUCGGCGUGGCAGUUUAAAGUUUGUGGUAAAAAGUGCUGGCAGGGCAGAGAGCUUUCCUCCUGCUGCCAAGUCUGUGGUUCCUCAUUGUGGUUAUCAGGGACAGAUGUGAAUCAAACUACAAGCUAUAAGCCUUUCUUGAUCAAUGAAGCCAAAAGCGCAGACUUGGCUUGGACGGAUUUGGUGCGUCAGAUGCUGCACACUUUCAUCCAAAGGCCUUAAACUGUCUUUUUGUGCGGCGCUCUCUCUUCAUAAAGGAUCAGCUCAACUCUGAGUGAUUAUUCAUCUCCGUGUUGAUCAGAGUUUAAAUAAAGUUUUCCUGACCCACUGAGUCCUGAGCUGCUGUUUCCUUCAGCUUUGUGUUUUUAUUCCAUAGAAAGUACUCCUGACCCAGAACCUCCUCGUUUACCUGGAAAAUACCUGAAGCAGUGGAAACUGUGAGCCAUAAGACUGUCCACAGAAAGCAGCUUUACUCAGGCUGAACGAUGCAUUGGAUCCUGGAGAGACGAAGUUUAAAAAGGUUUCUGCGCUCAGAUUGCUCGAACAUGAGCGGAGUGAUUUAUGGGCCAGAACCGGGAUGUGGACUUCCUCAUACAGUGAAGUUUCUGACUCAUGAGGGAGACGCUCUGGGAUGUCUGAACGCUGCGUGAACCGCAAAAUUAAAAAUGUUUGUUGUCUUCUGGAGCUGACUGGCACCGUUUGAAGUGAGCGCAGCACCGGCUUUGAAGCCCGGCUGGAUCCAGAUAUGACUGGAGGAUAAUCUAGAAAUGAAUUUUUGGCAGCGUCUGAAGGCGACCGACAGGCGACAAACACGUUAGUAGCUGUUGAUUAAAUGCUGCUUUGAGAUGCAGUGAUGCACAAACAGAGAAGGGAGAACAGGAACUCCUAAACACACAUGAAGAAUCAGUUAAAUAUGUUUAUUUAAUCAGAACUGGCUGUGAAAGUUGGUGACAGUUUCUCAGUUAUUCUGUUAUUUAUGUUUUGGGACUUUAAUGUUAUUUAUCUCUGUUUCCUGUCAUAAAAACACAUUAAAAUCUUUUGGAGUACAUUAAGA